AUGGGGCUGGGUGUUCCUAUGGGGCUGUGCAUCCCUCUAUGGGGCUGGGUGUUCCUAUGGGGCUGGAACCCUUUGGUGGGUGUGGGGCUGGGACCCCUCUAUAGGACUGGGAUCCCUUGGUGGGUGAAGGGCUGGGUGUCCCUAUGGGGCUGUGCAUCCCUCUAUGGGGCUGGGUGUUCCUAUGGGGCUGGAACCCUUUGGUGGGUGUGGGGCUGGGACCCCUCUAUAGGACUGGGAUCCCUUGGUGGGUGAAGGGCUGGCUGUCCCUAUGGGGUUGUGCAUCCCUCUAUGGGUCUGAGUGUCCCUAUGGGGCUGGGUGUCCCUAUGGGUCUGCGGACCUCUCUAUGGGGCUGGGUGCCCCUAUUGGAACUGGGUACCCCCUUAUGGGACUGGGCGUCCCUAUGGGGCUGGGAUCCCUUGGUGGGUGUGGGGCUGGGACCCCUUUAUAGGACUGGGAUUUCUUGGUGGGUGUGGGGCUGGGUGUCCCUAUGGGGCUGGGACCCCUUGGUGGGUGUGGGGUUGGGACCCUUCUAUAGGACUGGCACCCUCUAUGGGGCUGGGACCCCUUGCUGUGUGUGGGGCUGAGCAUCUCUAUGGGGCUGUGGAUCCCUCUAUGGGGCUGGGUGUCCCUAUGGGGCUGGAACCCCUUGGUGGGUGUGGGGCUGAGCAUCUCUAUGGGGCUGUGGAUCCCUCUAUGGGGCUGGGUGCCCCUAUUGGAACUGGGUGCCCCCUUAUGGGGCUGGGUGUCCCUAUGGGGUUGGGAUCCCUUGGUGGGUGUGGGGCUGGGACCCCUCUACAGGACUGGGAUCUCUUGGUGGGUGUGGGGCUGGGUGUCCCUAUGGGGCUGGGACCCCUUGCUGUGUGUGGGGCUGAGCAUCUCUAUGGGGCUGCGGACCCCUCUAUGGGGCUGGGUGUCCCUAUGGGGCAGGGACCCCUUGCUGUGUGUGGGGCUGAGCAUCUCUAUGGGGCUGCGGACCCCUCUAUGGGGCUGGGUUCCCCUAUUGGAACUGGGUGCCCCCUUAUGGGGCUGGGUGUCCCUAUGGGGCUGGGACCCCUUGCUGUGUGUGGGGCUGAGCAUCUCUAUGGGGCUGCGGACCCCUCUAUGGGGCUGGGUGCCCCUAUUGGAACUGGGUGCCCCCUUAUGGGGCUGGGUGUCCCUAUGGGGCUGGAACCCCUUGCUGUGUGUGGGGCUGAGCAUUUCUAUGGGGCUGUGGAUCCCUCUAUGGGGCUGGGUGCCCCUAUUGGAACUGGGUGCCCCCUUAUGGGGCUGGGUGUCCCUAUGGGGCUGGGAUCCCUUGGUGGGUGUGGGGCUGGGACCCCUCUACAGGACUGGGAUCUCUUGGUGGGUGUGGGGCUGGGUGUCCCUAUGGGGCUGGGACCCCUUGCUGUGUGUGGGGCUGAGCAUCUCUAUGGGGCUGUGGAUCCCUCUAUGGGGCUGGGUGUCCCUAUAGGUCUGCGGACCCCUCUAUGGGGCUGGGAGUCCCUAUUGGAACUGGGUGCCCUCUUAUGGGGCUGGGUGUCCCUAUGGGGCUGGGACCCCUUGCUGUGUGUGGGGCUGAGCAUCUCUAUGGGGCUGUGGACCCCUCUAUGGGGCUGGGUGUCUCUAUGGGGCAGGGACCCCUUGGUGGGUGUGGGGCUGAGCAUCUCUAUGGGGCUGUGGAUCCCUCUAUGGGGCUGGGUGCCCCUAUUGGAACUGGGUGCCCCCUUAUGGGGCUGGGUGUCCCUAUGGGGCUGGGAUCCCUUGGUGGGUGUGGGGCUGGGACCCCUCUACAGGACUGGGAUCUCUUGGUGGGUGUGGGGCUGGGUGUCCCUAUGGGGCUGGGACCCCUUGCUGUGUGUGGGGCUGAGCAUCUCUAUGGGGCUGCGGACCCCUCUAUGGGGCUGGGUUCCCCUAUUGGAACUGGGUGCCCCCUUAUGGGGCUGGGUGUCCCUAUGGGGCUGGGACCCCUUGCUGUGUGUGGGGCUGAGCAUCUCUAUGGGGCUGUGGAUCCCUCUAUGGGGCUGGGUGUCCCUAUAGGUCUGCGGACCCCUCUAUGGGGCUGGGUGCCCCUAUUGGAACUGGGUGCCCCCUUAUGGGGCUGGGUGUCCCUAUGGGGCUGCGACCCCUUGCUGUGUGUGGGGCUGAGCAUCUCUAUGGGGCUGCGGACCCCUCUAUGGGGCUGGGUGUCCCUAUGGGGCUGGGACCCCUUGCUGUGUAUGGGGCUGAGCAUCUCUAUGGGGCUGUGGAUCCCUCUAUGGGGCUGGGUGUCCCUAUAGGUCUGCGGACCCCUCUAUGGGGCUGGGUGCCCCUAUUGGAACUGGGUGCCCCCUUAUGGGGCUGGGUGUCCCUAUGGGGCUGGGACCCCUUGCUGUGUGUGGGGCUGAGCAUCUCUAUGGGGCUGUGGACCCCUCUAUGGGGCUGGGUGUCCCUAUUGGAACUGGGUGCCCCCUUAUGGGGCUGGGUGUCCCUAUGGGGCUGGGAUCCCUUGGUGGGACUGGCACCCCCUAUGGGGCUGGGACCCCUUGGUGGUUGUGGGGCUGUGGGCCCCUAUUGGGGCUGGGACCCCUCUAUAGGACUGGGAUCCCUUGGUGGGUGUGGGGCUGGGUGUCCCUAUGGGGCUGGGACCCC